rnacentral:rRNA from 1 species
UACGGGGGGGGCAAGCGUUGUUCGGAAUUACUGGGCGUAAAGGGUUCGUAGGUGGCCAACUAAGUCAGACGUGAAAUCCCUCAGCUUAACUGGGGAACUGCGUCUGAUACUGGUUGGCUUGAGUGCAGGAGAGGAACGCGGAAUUCCAGGUGUAGCGGUGAAAUGCGUAGAUAUCAGGAGGAACACCGGUGGCGAAGGCGGGUCUCUGGGCCGAUACUGACGCUGAGGAGCGAAAGCGUGGGGAGCGAACAGG